AAGAAAUGAGGAGAAUAUCAUGCAGUCUGAGCAAACCAUGAAGACUGUCAUAUCCAACGCUGAUCUUGUAUUCUGU